CCAUAAGCAUAAUUAUAAGAAGUAGAUCUGUAAGCCUAAAUAAAUUAUGGAAGAAAAAUAAGAUCAAUGAAAUAUCUCAUCAUUCCCUUUGCAUUUAGGAGAAUGUGUCAGCAUCCUAUAAAACUCAAAAAUCAUAGCAUUUAGCUGCACUAGUAUCAUGGUGUUCAACACUAUAAAUGGGAAAUCACCAAACUUUCCUUUAGCAUCACUGAAUGUUCAAAAGCUUCAGUACAGAAUAAAAAAAGAAAUAUACAAGGGAGAGAAUCACCUGCUGUUUGCACUCUCAAUUGUGAAGUUAUUGGCAACGAUAUUA
rnacentral:lncRNA from 1 species